rnacentral:rRNA from 1 species
AUUGAACGCUGGCGGCAGGCUUAACACAUGCAAGUCGAGCGGGGUGAUGGUGCUUGCACUAUCACUUAGCGGCGGACGGGUGAGUAAUGCUUAGGAAUCUGCCUAUUAGUGGGGGACAACAUCUCGAAAGGGAUGCUAAUACCGCAUACGUCCUACGGGAGAAAGCAGGGGAUCACUUGUGACCUUGCGCUAAUAGAUGAGCCUAAGUCGGAUUAGCUAGUUGGUGGGGUAAAGGCCUACCAAGGCGACGAUCUGUAGCGGGGCUGAGAGGAGGAUCCGCCCGACUGGGACUGAGACACGGCCCAGACUCCUACGGGAGGCAGCAGUGGGGAAUAUUGGACAAUGGGGGGAACCCGGAUCCAGCCAUGCCCCGUGUGUGAAGAAGGCCUUAUGGUUGUAAAGCACUUUAAGCGAGGAGGAGGCUCUUUUGGUUAAUACCCAAGAUGAGUGGACGUUACUCGCAGAAUAAGCACCGGCUAACUCUGUGCCAGCCGCCGCCGUAA